GUAGAAGACUUCGGUCCGAUACACGGCGCCAGUUCGAACCGAGAGUCCGUACCUACGAGAAUUUGAAAAAAUUUUCGACAAAUUUUUCGUCAUUCAAUGAUGUUCGUCGUUUUCUUUGUAACAACCGG